AGACCUCCAGCCUUCAAAUUUCAAUCAUAACUUCAGCUAAAAGCAGCGGCGGGACAGACGCUGAAGGGAAGUGACACGGAGCUAACGCACAGCGCUUCCAGAGACGCUUUCCCCGCUUUCUCGCAGCUCCUCCGCACGGCGUCCUGUGGGCGGCCACCGCACCGCAAUCUAUUCUGAGUUUGCAAGUGGAAAUUAAAUUCCUUGUAGCCGAAAUGAGCCUCCACUUCAAUCAGCCUGAAGCCUGUCCUCCCAUCCCCCACCGCCCUCCCGCUGCAGCAUCUUUGAAAUAUGCAAAUGGGACACCUUGCUAAAU
rnacentral:lncRNA from 1 species